GAUGAAGAACGUAGCGAAAUGCGAUAAGUAAUGUGAAUUGCAGAAUUCAGUGAAUCAUCGAAUCUUUGAACGCACAUUGCGCCCGCCAGUAUUCUGGCGGGCAUGCCUGUUCGAGCGUCAUUUCAACCAUCAAGCCCCAGGCUUGUGUUGGGGACCUGCGGCUGCCGCAGGCCCUGAAAACCAGUGGCGGGCUCGCUGUCACACCGGGCGUAGUAGAUUUUAUCUCGCUCAGGGCGUGCUGCGGGUUCCGGCCGUUAAAAAGCCUUUUUUACCCAAGCUUGACCUCGGAUCAGGUAGGAAGACCCGCUGAACUUAAGCAUAUCAAUAAGCGGAGGA
rnacentral:misc_RNA from 1 species